rnacentral:rRNA from 1 species
UACGUAGGGUGCAAGCGUUGUCCGGAAUUAUUGGGCGUAAAGAGCUCGUAGGCGGUCUGUCGCGUCGGCUGUGAAAUCCCGGGGCUCAACCCCGGGCCUGCAGUCGAUACGGGCAGACUAGAGUGCGGUAGGGGAGACUGGAAUUCCCGGUGUAGCGGUGAAAUGCGCAGAUAUCAGGAGGAACACCGGUGGCGAAGGCGGUUCUCUGGGUAUACUUGACGCUGAGGAGCGAAAGUGUGGGGAGCGAACAGG